rnacentral:lncRNA from 1 species
GGAAGCCACACAGCAGACUUGGGAGGUCCCAGGACCACAUCUUGUAGCUUCACUCCGUUGGCCACGAGGAUGAGUGUCCCUGCUCAACAGUGGCUGGCUGAGAGGACAUGGAGUGAGAGGGUCUGUGGUGGAGGGAGAACAGCGGAUGUGGAGGCCCUGCAGGCCCCCAGCAGAACUCCCCCGACACACACAGGAGCUAGGAGAGCACUCAGGAAUGUGGGGGGAGGAUCAGAGUGCAGCAUGGAGGAGGGCCUGCUUGCGGAUUGCCUGAGUCUUCAGUCCCAGAAGACUCCCCUUGAGCAGUUUGCUCAGGGAGCAUUUAUGUAGCUGCCUUUGAUUUCACUGUUCCAGAUUUGAUUUCAGUGUGAUUUCAGUGUUCCAGACUCACGUUUAUGAUCUGAAACUCUCAGACUUGUUUCCAGUUAGAUAAAAGUGAUCUUCCCCUUCCUGCAGCUGAGUCUCCAGAGACUGCAUCAGGGUUGACUCCCAGAGCACCUGCAGUCCCACCCAGCCGCUGGAGAACCAAGCCUGGGAGGUACAGUAAGCCCAGGAAGGUCCUGCAGAUCACACACAGGCCCUUCACAGGACAUGGUCUAGGACAUAGUGCCCUGCGUGCUGGAGCACGGGGAGACACUGAUGGGCGCUGCAUCUGGAGGCCCAGACCUGAGGUCAGUCUCAUUUAGGGCAGAGACCUCUGGGUCGUGGUGUCAGGCACAGGAGAGCAGGUCACUCUGGGGCACAGCUAGAGGACUCACCUCACCCAGGUGAGUCUGAGGCAAAGUUCAGACCUUGUCCCCUAGCCCAAGCUCCCUCUUUCUCCCCACUAAAUCAGUGUGGCUCAUUUCUUGAUCUAGGUUCACAAACAGAAGAUUAUUUUAAAGUCACGUUUUGCAUGGAUCUAUGCUUCUGUCCUACUCUGAGCGCACCAAAGCAGAUGCUCAUAGUAAGCCGGUUUUUCCUGCUGAAGUGUUACAGGCAGGACACAGCACUUGUGUCCAGCAUAACCCUAGUGUCUCACUGCAGUCAUCUCUGAGCGUGAUUGCAGGCAACUUUG